CGGGCAAUAGCCCAGUUGUAGAGCUCUCGCUUCGUGGGCGGGGAGACCUGGGUUCGAUUCCCGGUUGCUUAC
rnacentral:tRNA from 1 species